UACGGGGGGAGCAAGCGUUGUUCGGAUUUACUGGGCGUAAAGGGCGCGUAGGCGGCGCAACAAGUCACUUGUGAAAUCUCCGGGCUUAACCCGGAGCGGCCAAGUGAUACUGUCGUGCUAGAGUGCGGAAGGGGCUACUGGAAUUCUCGGUGUAGCGGUGAAAUGCGUAGAUAUCGAGAGGAACACCUGCGGCGAAGGCGGGUAGCUGGGCCGGACACUGACGCUGAUGCGCGAAAGCCAGGGGAGCGAACGGG
rnacentral:rRNA from 1 species